rnacentral:rRNA from 1 species
AGACCCGAAACCCGGUGAUCUAGCCAUGGGCAGGUUGAAGGUUGGGUAACACUAACUGGAGGACCGAACCGACUAAUGUUGAAAAAUUAGCGGAUGACCUGUGGCUGGGGGUGAAAGGCCAAUCAAACCGGGAGAUAGCUGGUUCUCCCCGAAAGCUAUUUAGGUAGCGCCUCGUGAAUUCAUCUCCGGGGGUAGAGCACUGUUUCGGCUAGGGGGCCAUCCCGGCUUACCAACCCGAUGCAAACUGCGAAUACCGGAGAAUGUUAUCACGGGAGACACACGGCGGGUGCUAACGUCCGUCGUGAAGAGGGAAACAACCCAGACCGCCAGCUAAGGUCCCAAAGUCAUGGUUAAGUGGGAAACGAUGUGGGAAGGCCCAGACAGCCAGGAUGUUGGCUUAGAAGCAGCCAUCAUUUAAAGAAAGCGUAAUAGCUCACUGGUCGAGUCGGCCUGCGCGGAAGAUGUAACGGGGCUAAACCAUGCACCGAAGCUGCGGCAGCGACACUCAGGUGUCGUUGGGUAGGGGAGCGUUCUGUAAGCCUGCGAAGGUGGCCUGUGAGGGUUGCUGGAGGUAUCAGAAGUGCGAAUGCUGACAUAAGUAACGAUAAAGCGGGUGAAAAGCCCGCUCGCCGGAAGACCAAGGGUUCCUGUCCAACGUUAAUCGGGGCAGGGUGAGUCGACCCCUAAGGCGAGGCCGAAAGGCGUAGUCGAUGGGAAACGGGUUAAUAUUCCCGUACUUGGUGUUACUGCGAAGGGGGGACGGAGAAGGCUAUGUUGGCCGGGCGACGGUUGUCCCGGUUUAAGCGUGUAGGUGUGUGUUCCAGGUAAAUCCGGUUCACUUUAACACUGAGGCGUGAUGACGAGGCACUACGGUGCUGAAGCAACAAAUGCCCUGCUUCCAGGAAAAGCCUCUAAGCAUCAGGUAACAUCAAAUCGUACCCCAAACCGACACAGGUGGUCAGGUAGAGAAUACCAAGGCGCUUGAGAGAACUCGGGUGAAGGAACUAGGCAAAAUGGUGCCGUAACUUCGGGAGAAGGCACGCUGACA